rnacentral:lncRNA from 1 species
AUCCGGGCUUAAGGAUAAUGUUGCAAGCCGCACAUGCAUCCGGCCUCUAGGAGUCAUCCACACGAGCCCACGAAUCUCGAUCAGAAGUCCUGCUUCAGGAAAUCAGCACAGUAUGCUAGUACUGCGCUGAUCCUUCUUUGAUGGUUGAUCAGGUGCCUCCUUCUUCUUGAUUUAGACUCUUCCAAAGAUAAAAAGUAGAAGGAGGAGUUUCAGAUCUGAGACGCUCUCAGAAAACUCA